CGCCAGACUCCUACGGGAGGCAGCAGUGGGGAAUAUUGCACAAUGGGGGAAACCCUGAUGCAGCGACGCCGCGUGAGUGAAGAAGUAUUUCGGUAUGUAAAGCUCUAUCAGCAGGGAAGAAGUUGACGGUACCUGAGUAAGAAGCCCCGGCUAACUACGUGCCAGCAGCCGCGGUAAUACGUAGGGGGCAAGCGUUAUCCGGAUUUACUGGGUGUAAAGGGAGCGUAGACGGCAGUGCAAGUCUGAAGUGAAAGCCCCGGGCUUAACCCGGGAACUGCUUUGGAAACUGUACGGCUGGAGUGCUGGAGAGGUAAGCGGAAUUCCUAGUGUAGCGGUGAAAUGCGUAGAUAUUAGGAGGAACACCAGUGGCGAAGGCGGCUUACUGGACAGUAACUGACGUUGAGGCUCGAAAGCGUGGGGAGCAAACAGGAUUAGAUACCCGCGUAU
rnacentral:rRNA from 1 species